UAAUGCUAAUUGUGCCAAAAAUGUCAAGUAUGUUAAGAUUGGUAUUCUACAUGUGAUUGUGUAUGCUUGCUUGUGAGGAAUUUCAGGUUUAAUUUGUAAUAAUUGUCUGCAUCUCAUUUUAUCAUUUGCAAUCCUGUUCCAGUACAUAAAGUUGAAAAUUACUUGUGUUGCUUAUGCCUCAAAUGCUUGCUAAAUUCAUCAUUUUGACAGUGUUGCGUUCCAUUUUCUUCCUCGUUCUAUAAUAUGUAUACAAAGAAUAAAGUGGCUUUUGAAAUGGGAGAGGAAUUCUUGGAAUGUCACUUCUCAAUUUGUUAUUUGCGUAUCUACUUCUAGCGUUGGUUCAUAUAAAUGCACAGCCACACCCACUUGUUACUAUUUAUAGGGAAAUUGAAGUUGCUUGUAUUUGAUAUAAAUUUCCAAUUUCAAUAUUGUUAUCCAUAUGGUUGUUAAUGAGUUGGGCCUGGGUUGCCUUUGGCGUGGAUUUUGAAUUGAUUGGAUUUCAUCCUCAUGGGCCUAAGUCAUGGACUUGACUAAAUUUACGGUAAUCUUGUACAUUACAGAGAUUUUGCACAAAUAAAUCAAAUUCCAUUUUAGAGCAUUGUGGGAUCAUAGAUAGAAGUUGGUCUUAUGAUUAUAUAAAUUUUUAAUUGAUAUUUUAUCAUUUGAAGUAUGAAUGUAUUCAACUUUUGAGUUUUUUUUUUUAAAAAUCAAAGAUCUAUUUGAUUGCUAUUGUACCUUUUCUCUCGAUGUAUCUACCCACAGACUAAAAUUUCAACACUAAAGAAAUGCUUCAACCAAGAAUGUUCUUAGAUAAAACCAUGCUAUUGGUCCUCUGCUACGCUCUCAUUUCUCCCAUUUGUAAAUCAAGGACUGGUGUGGUUUUUUGCGUAGAGAAUGCCUUGUCUCAAUCCAGUGUAUGUAAACAGGACGUGAACUACCUAACUGCCCUUGCUACUUCGACUCUGUCUGGUGACCCGAAAGAGUAUGUAACAGGCCUUGUUUCAUAUUAAUGAUGAUUAUAGAUGCAAAAAACUGGAAAGGAGAAACAUGUUACAAUUUCUGUUGAUGAUGGAACUCGACCGAACACAUCAUUGUUUGAUUUAGCAAAAGCUCAAACAUGCAUUUAAGGAGGGUGGAUUUCAACAGAUUGUUGAGGCCCAUGAUUUUAACAGUCUGAUUCAAGUAACCAAUUUUCCACACACAUUACCAGAGUAUCAAAGUUCUUGUCCAAUUAGUUAUUAAAGUUGACCCUUUUUUUCCCCAAUUUUUCUAAUUUAUUAAAAGAUUGUGCUAAAAGUUGUACCAUCUUUUUUCCUGUCUGACAGAGAUCACAGUCAUGGCGGAAGGCAAUAAAUUACAGGUAUGGGUGAUGUAUUGCUAAGUAUCGUGAAUGUAUCAAUAUCGCCAAUAUUUUUUACUGUGUAAAUUCUAGGUGUUGAUGGGAUUCAUCUGCUAGAUUGUGAGCAAUCAGAGUCAUUACCCACAUAUAGGGAUUUAUCCAAUAACUUGCUAUAUGGAGAUAUUCCGUUCUCAACAUCUAAGCUCAAACAGCUUGCUAUAUGGAGAUAUUCUAGUACCUUACUAUGUAGGACCUUGAAAUGAAACCCACCUUUGUUCCUAAGUCUGUCAAGGCUAUUGCCAUGUUAUUCUUGGCAAUCUCAAAUUUUAGAGACACUGUUAAACACCUGACAUAGCAGAACAUCCAUCACUAAAGAUAAAUAUCAAUCAAAAUGCAUCAAGAGUCAUGCACUGUUUACGACUACAAAUAUGAGAGCAGAUAAGCAGUGGACUAGCUCUCGUAGCAAGCAAUAGCUGAUUUCAAGUCCUUAUGGUUUUUAUAUAUAAUACCCAUGUUACAAUAUGCUUCGGCAUACAUAGGCCUUUGUCAUGCAGCUUUCUCAUAGCAGGUAAGAGCCAAAUCAUAUUGUAGCAUCUCAUAA